AUGGUGGCACAAGAAUCGGGCGUCUCUCCCAAACACAUCCUCGGCGUUCUUUACGGAUUCUCCAGCGGCGGUGUUGAUCUUCUGAAGACACAGGCGCACGCCAAUACGCGCACGGGCGUCGCCUUCGAAGCCGCAUGCACGUUCCUUAAGGAUCGUGAAAGUGAACUCGAGGGCUACGAGCCCGUGGCGUCGCACGGCGGCUUCGUCGCCCUCCGCCGCCGUCCAUCGCCGGCCGCAGUCGUCUUGCCUGGUCUCUCGCCGCCGCCCUCAGACCUCGUCGUGUGCAACCCUGUCACCGGGCAACACGUCUCGCUGCCGCGCCCGUCCAUCUGGGAUGAGUCCUUCGUGCUGCUAGCUCACGGGACGGGCUUCACCCUGCAGAUCGUGAACCUUGAACUGGCGGACGCCGGGAUGCUCCAGGUCCAGACCUUCUCGUCGGCCAAGGGCAAGUGGGAUGGCGUCGUGGCCACGUACGCCAACCUGCCCCUGGGCGCGCCGAGCAGGUUCGUCCGGCCUUCGCCGCUCGUCCUCGACGGGGUCGCGUACUGGCUCUGCAAGUCCGAGUCGAAGUCCCUCGGCUACCACGUCCUCGCGCUCCCUCUCGAUGGACAGCGGCAGCCGGCGCCGAUAAAGUUCCCGGACAAAGUUCCAAAAACACGAGGACGCGGCGACAACUUCAACACCGAGGACAUCCUCCUGGCAUCGACAACGGUGAACGGGACGCGGCGACUGACCCUGGCCGCGGUGGCAAAUGUCACCAUAUCUCUAUGGACGCUGGACGACGAUCAGGCAGAGAAGCCGGCGAGGUGGACGCGCCACAAGUGCUUCGACUUGUGGAACAUCACGUUGGAGCGAGAGGGCCCGCUGCCGGUGCGGGAGAAGGGAGACAGGGUGGCGCUGGAGUGCUUCUCAGAGUCAGGGGAGAGCGGCAGCCUGCUUUUCCACCAUCGCAUGCUCUACAGGAUCGACCUACAAUCCGACAAACAGACCGAAAAAGUUUCCGUCGCCGGCAUUUACUGCAAGCGGAGCUCCAGCAACAUGUGCGAGUACCAUACUGAUGAUGCAGCAGCCCUGCUCAAGACCUAA
rnacentral:rRNA from 1 species